rnacentral:misc_RNA from 1 species
UAGGAUACCUUGCGGGUUGAGCUGGCGCUAUCGCAUGUGUGCCUAUCAUACUCUAACUGUUGCUUUGGCAGGAGCCUUAGUAGACAUUCACUGUCGAGGUCUCUGCCCUGUCCUCCAGAUACCAUACUCUAAUGAUUAUUGAAUGUCUUAACGUACUUAAAGCAUAAUUA